CACGGGGUUGCGAGCGUUGUCCAGAUUUACUGGGCGUAAAGGGAGCGUAGGCGGACUUUUAAGUGAGAUGUGAAAUACCCGGGCUCAACUUGGGUGCUGCAUUUCAAACUGGAAGUCUAGAGUGCAGGAGAGGAGAAUGGAAUUCCCAGUGUAGCGGUGAAAUGCGUAGAGAUUAGGAAGAACACCAGUGGCGAAGGCGAUUCUCUGGACUGUAACUGACGCUGAGGCUCGAAAGCGUGGGGAGCAAACAGGAUUAGAUACCCU
rnacentral:rRNA from 1 species